ACGCUUACACACACACACACACAAGUAAUCACGGAUGCACGAGCACAGGUUGCUCGUUUGUUUCGGCCAAGCGAUAUGGGACGAGGCAGUGAUCAACGGUACGUACGUACAUACAGCUUAACUCGUAAACAAUGAGGAAGGUGAAGCAGAUAGAAAACGUAUACGGCGUAGUGAUUUUACUCCAUUGUGUUUGAAGGUUACGUCCGACUACGACGAGCAUGUAUCAAAACACCGUAGUUACGCGUCGCGCGCCACAGCGGUCGAGUGGGGAGGGGAGCGAAGAGUGGCCUCGUACCCUUUAAGCUCUAUCUUUAUCUAAAGUGGACAGAUCGCGCGAACGAUUCGGCCGCAUAGGGCGGCGCUGCCGACGAGGCGUCGCGCGAUCGAAGGUGCGACGCGAAUCUUGUCUAAUUGCGAUCCGAAUAUCUUAAUUGCUUCGCGAGUCUAAUGAGGCAUCAUGUAUCGCGCAGAUAACGUUAAUUAUACAAGGUCGUGUCGGAUUGGUCGAGCCGAAAGCGGCGCGAAGUUGUCUCGUAUCUCUCGCGCGAGUUAUCGUCGCCGAAGUCGUGUGGACGAAUCAGACGUAUGUGACGCCAUUGCGGAUGUAUCUGUGCAACGUGAUCGACGACGAUACGACGCGAGCUGCGCGAAUAGUUUACAUCUAAUUGCGAUCCGAGUGUCCCAAAUCGAUCCGAAUAUCCUAAAUGCUUCGCACGUCUAAUGGAGCGUCGUAUGUUACGCGCGCAAUGUUAAUAUGCGAGUCGUAGUGCGAUGUGACGCGAAGUGAACAUUCUGAGGGUGAGUGCGAUAUCGGAGAAACGAGCGGAAAGGCGCCAGAGGAGCAGCUAUGGACUACGGCUGCGGGAAUACAUCGCGGUCUACGCUUCUUCAGGUUCGGAGGGUUCUGGCGAUUCCAAGAAGGUGAAGAUGAAAGGCAAUUCUAGCAGCGACUGGCGCGAUUGGUGGUGGACCACGCGCAUCAGUGAAUUAGUUGACUUUUGAAACACGUAUUUUAUGGGACUCCCGUCGGUAUCGCAUUCAGUGCCUAUGUUUUCCCAAUCAAUUUGUGACUACGCGAGUGCUAGUGUCAGUGCCAGUGUUAGUGUCAGCGUCAUGACGGAGCAUCCGGGGCUGUCGGCAACAGGAUGCUGGAUCCGGAAGCCAGGACAGAGGACGCAGGAUGCCGGUCGCGAGCAGCAGCACGUCGUAUAUUUCCAAGUAUGUCAAUCGUUUAUUAUAUGGCAUGUUUUCGAUUUUAACGAGCGAUUUUGACGAAUUUAUCGAAGGCACGAGAGGCGUCCCGAGUCGAAAUUUGGACUGGCAUUCGUGACUCGUCGUCAUUUGGCAAAUUAUUGUAGUCUUGUGUUGACGGGAAUUUCGCGUCGACAGUAAAUAACGAUUUUCGAUUAACUGUCAAUCUGAAACUAUAUUUAUUUUACACAACGGGAGAUAUCGAAUCUUACGAACACGAAACUGCGACUAAUAAUAUCGUUCUCGAUGAAAAGUCAUAAGUAAUUUACGUCUACGAAUGCCAGUCUAAGGAUGUAUUGAAAAUUCUAAAGAUGUUGCUUCUAAUAAUGCUCCUUGAACCGCCA